CNUGCAUGUCUAGUAUAAGUAUUAAUACUUCGAAGCUGCGAAUGGCUCAUUAUAUCAGUUAUAGUUUAUUUGAUAAUCCCUUACUACUCGGAUACCUGUAGUAAUUCUAGAGCUAAUACGUGCAUCAAUAUCCAACUCUCGGGAAGGAUAGUAUUUAUUAGAUAUAAACCAACCCACUUCGGUGGCGUACUGGUGAUUCAUAAUAACUUUGCGAAUCGCAUGGCUCUGCCGGCGAUGGAUCAUUCAAGUUUCUGCCCUAUCAGCUCUGAUGGUAGAGUAUUGGUCUACCAUGGCGAUAACGGGUAACGGGAGAUUAGGGUUUGAUUCCGGAGAGGGGGCCUGAGAGAUGGCCACCACAUCCAAGGAAGGCAGCAGGCGCGUAAAUUACCCAAUUCUGAAACAGAGAGGUAGUGACAAUAAAUAACAAUGCCGGGCCUCUUUCGAGGUCUGGCAAUUGGAAUGAGAACAAUUUAAAUCCCUUAUCGAGGAUCAAUUGGAGGGCAAGUCUGGUGCCAGCAGCCGCGGUAAUUCCAGCUCCAAUAGCGUAUAUUUUAGUUGUUGCAGUUAAAAAGCUCGUAGUCGAAUUUCUGGUGGGAGAGUGCGGUCCGACCUUUUGGUGGGUACUUGCUCUCUCCGGCCAUCCUUGGGAGGAGCCUGUCUGGCAUUAAGUUGUCGGGCUGGGGAUUCCCAUCAUUUACUGUGAGUUAAUUGGAGUGUUCAAAGCAGACUUAUGUCGUUGAACAUAUUAGCAUGGAAUAAUAAGAUAGGACCACAGCACUAUUUUGUUGGUUUGCGCGCCGUGGUAAUGAUGAAUAGGGACAGUUGUGGGUAUUCGUAUUCAGUUGUAAGAGGUGAAAUUCUUAGAUUAACGGAAGACGAACUACUGCGAAAGCAUUUACCAGGGAUGUUUUCA
rnacentral:rRNA from 1 species